rnacentral:misc_RNA from 1 species
AACAAGGCGUACCUGCGGACCUGCGGAAGGAUCAUUACCGAGUUUACAACUCCCAAACCCCUGUGAACAUACCUAUACGUUGCCUCGGCGGAUCAGCCCGCGCCCUGUAAAAAGGGACGGCCCGCCCGAGGACCCUAAACUCUGUUUUUAGUGGAACUUCUGAGUAAAACAAACAAAUAAAUCAAAACUUUUAGCAAUGGAUCU